CCUACGGGUGGCAGCAGUGGGGAAUAUUGCACAAUGGGGGAAACCCUGAUGCAGCAAAGCCGCGUGAGUGCAGAAGUAUUUCGGUAUGUACAGCUCUAUCAGCAGUGAAGAAGAUCACGGUACCUGAGUAAGACGCCCCGUCUAACUACGUGCCCGCAGCCGCGGUAAUAAGUAGGGGGCAAGCGUUAUCCGGAUUUACUGGGUGUAAAGGGAGCGUAGACGGUGAGACAAGUCUGAAGUGAAAGCCCGGGGCUCAACCCCGGGACUGCUGUUGAAACUGCCUGACUGGAGUGCUGGAGAGGCAAGCGGAAUGCCUAGUGUAGCGGUGAAAUGCGUAGAUAUUAGGAAGAACACCAGUGGCGAAGGCGGCUUGCUGGACAGUAACUGACGUUGAGGCUCGAAAGCGUGGGGAGCAAACAGGAUUAGAUACCCUUGUAGUC
rnacentral:rRNA from 1 species